CUACGGGUGGCUGCAGGCGCGAAACCUUUUCAAUGCACGAAAGUGUGAGAAGGGAAUUCCAAGUGCUCAAGUUUUACUUGGGCUUUUGCCAAGUGUAAAUAGCUUGGCGAAUAAGGGGUGGGUAAGACUGGUGCCAGCCGCCGCGGUAACACCAGCGCCUCAAGUGGGGAUCGCGAUUAUUGGGUCUAAAGCGUCCGUAGCAGGCCUUGUAAAUGCUUUGUGAAAUCGGCAGGCAUAACCUGUCGGCGUGCAGAGUAGACUGCAGAGCUCGAGACCGGGAGAGGUCAGAAGUAUUCCUAGGGUACCGGUAAAAUGGGUUAAUCCUGGGAGGACUACCGAUGGCGAAGGCAUCUGACCAGAACGGUUCUGACUGUGAGGGACGAAAGCUAGGGGAGCAAAACGGAUUAGAUACCCCAGUAGUC
rnacentral:rRNA from 1 species